rnacentral:lncRNA from 1 species
AUUGCCACGAGCCAGGGCAUUUUGCUCGUGAUUGCCCACACCCUGAUAGGAGGAUUAAUAAUGACAGAACAAUGGUUGCAGUUGGGAAUAAUCGAAGCAGUGGUCAAGCAAACAAUGAAAAUGCUAUGGUUGCACAAUCAUUUGACUGGGAAGAUCAAAUACAAGCUCUAAAUUUGUCUGGACCAGAAAAUGCUCAUCUAGCACAAGUGAGGGAUGACGCUCAAGCAAGGACUGCAGCAGCUGAAGACAACAUGAUGAAACUACAAUUUGGCUUGAUGGUAUCCUCCUCCCAUGAACCUAAUUCAUACAAGGUAAGUCUUCCAUCAUGCUCUAAGGCUUGUAUAGAUUAUGUGAAAACUUUACAGGAUAAAACUGAGACAUUAGGUGAGAAGUAUAAAACAAGCGUAGAAGAACAAAGAAUAAAUUUACAUGUGCAAGCGUAUCCAGUAGAUGUGCCAGCUGGUCAAUCUUCUGGUUCUGCUGAGCGUAUUGGAGUUGUUCCUCCUAUGGCUUCUCAUAUUCAAGAGAUCAUUCGGAAAAAUCAAGAAGAUGAUACUGAAAGGGGGCAGUUAUUAUUCAAGCGAAAUGUUACUCAGAGCAAUUCUAAAGGGGAGUCUUUGAUCACUGUCACUGAUCUUGAAAUUGUUCGGUUCAGAGAUACUUUUGGAGAUCGGUCGGGUGUAGCUGCUUGGGGAUUUCACGAUCCUCUUCGACUUUGGAUUAUUAUUCGCAAGAGCGGUAAUUCAGAGUUGUAUAAGGAUAUUCGUGCUUUUAGUUCAUUGACAAGGGUUGAUCUUGCGGAGUUAUCACAAGCUCCUUUUAUCAAUCUAUUAAACAAUUCUCAGGUUUCGCAGUUCAAAUUCUUUCUAGAUGAGCAAGUAAAGAAGGGAUUUCCUACAAUGCCAACUGCUGAGUCAAUCAUUCUGGAACAUCCAGAUGUGUUUGAAGCUUCUUCUGAUAAACCUCUACAGUUGGUUAUGUGGCCACCCACGACUCAAGUUAAACAAUUUCCCAUUGUUCAAGGUUAUAAAGAUGGAUCGCUCGGUUCUAUGGAGUGCUGGGUUUAUGAUGAAAAUACUUGUGGUGCGGUCAUUAAGCUCAAGAAUGGGUGCAUACGGUUGUAUGAUCAAAGAGACCUUCUGCAGUUCAGGAAAUGGGAUAUUCAUUAUCUGAGCAAUUUUCAAAUCAAAGUGGUUGAAGAUAUCUAUGAGCAAGGAGCCAAGGCGUAUACCAGGAUGGUUGCUGAGAUUUUGAGCAAAAAGAUGUGGAAUGGUGCUAUGGGCCAAAUGGAUGUCAUGCUGGUAAAGAAAGGAAUGGGGCCGAGCUAGUCCAAACCAAGGGGGAGAUUGAAAGACUCUGUAAAAUGGUUUGGUCUAGGCAUAGUCGUAGAUAGCAGUAGAAAUGUAAUUGUUCGUGUUUUGUUUUGAGUUUACGGUGUUUAUGGUCAAAAUGGGUUUACGGCCGUAAACUCUUUACGGCCGUAAACACCUUACGGUCUCUAGUCAGGUCUUUAAAUAGCGAGUUGUGUCAGUCAUUANNNNNNNNNNNNNNNNNNNNNNNNNNNNNNNNNNNNNNNNNNNNNNNNNNNNNNNNNNNNNNNNNNNNNNNNNNNNNNNNNNNNNNNNNNNNNNNNNNNNNNNNNNNNNNNNNNNUGCUUUAAGCAGAUCGUCAGACAUAAAAUGACAAAGUUGACUGAAUUUUUCAAAAAACCUAAUUAUAUAUGGAAACCCAAAUCUAUUCCCAAUACGUCUUCUGUAUCCUCAGAGAAGCUCAUGUGCAAUAAAUCUGAAAAGGCAUCGGGAUCACCCAGGAAGAUUAUGACCUGGGUGCCCAAAUCUAAUUAAACCCACCCAUUUUGCAGGGGCAGUUGCGGGGAAAUGUCGUCAGACCAUGGUUCGUCGACAGCGGCUGUUCCCGGCACAUGACAGGAGACAUCACCCAAUUGAACGACAUUCAAUCAUUUAAUGGGGGAUACGUCUCUUUUGCGGGUGGAGAUGGAGGAAAAAUUACACAAAAGGGCACGGUAUCAAAUGGAGUCUUGAGUUUUGAAAAUGUGAAUUUCGCUCCAGAGCUAAAACACAGCCUGCUAAGUGUUUCGCAAAUCUGUGACAAAGGCUAUUCUACGCAUUUUACUGACAAGGAAUGCAUGAUUUUAAAACCAGGUUUUGUCAUCCCUGAAGAAUGGAUUCUCGUGAAGUCAAAAAGGGAUGGAAAUGCUUAUAUUAUCGAUAUGAAUAGCAAUCUUCCAAAGCAGUUUACUUGUUUGUUCUCCAAGAUCUCUGAGCAAACCGCAAUGUUAUGGCACCGAAGAUUAGGUCACGCCAACGCCAAAAAUCUCAGUCAUCUUGCAAAGAAUGAGAUGGUCCGAGGAUUACCUGUCAAAGACUUUAUCACGUUUGAGAAAUGUGUGUCCUGUGCUCAAGGAAAGCAUCAUCGAAAGCCACAUUUACCGAAGCAAGUUAACUCAAUAAGUCAGGUUCUACAACUUCUUCACAUGGACCUAUUUGGUCCAGUGAAUGUGCUAAGCAUCAAUAGGAGUUCCUACUGUCUAGUUGUCAUUGAUGAUUUUUCUCGUUUUACGUGGGUUUUCUUUCUAUCCAACAAAGUUGGCGUCGCUGAAUUGAUCAAGAGGUUCAUAAUACUUAUUGAGAAUCAGACCAAUCAUAGGGUUAAGGCUAUUCACACCGAUAAUGGUACGGAAUUCAAGAAUUCGGUUCUCAAUCACUUCUGUUCUGAGAAGGGGAUCUUACAUCAAUUUAGUUCCGCUCACACACCUCAACAAAAUGGUGUUGCUGAGAGGCGAAACAGAACACUUAAGGAUGCAGCAAGGACGAUGUUGUGUGACUCCAAGCUCCCUGUUUUCUUUUGGGCAGAGGCAAUAAACACUGCCUGUUAUGUUCAAAAUCGAGUACUCAUCAACAAAGCUCAAAUGAAAACUCCAUAUGAAAUUUACUAUGGUCACAAACCGUCAGUUAGUCAUUUUCGAGUAUUUGGCUGUCCUUGCACCCUUCUUCACCUAGAUGCCAAUCCGAAGUUUAAUGCCAAAGCUGAUGACUGCUAUUUUGUUGGGUAUGCUGCACGUACCGCUUAUAGAGUCUACAACAAGAAAACCAAACAGAUUGUGGAAUCCUAUGACGUGCGUUGGUUGGAAGAGAAUGAGACAGACGCGAGAGUGGGUCCGGACUGGUUAUUUGAUUACACGUCACUUUUCAAAUCCUUAAACGUGUAUUCAAAUGAUGUUUCAAGAACUGAUUCGCAUUUGAAGAGUAUCUCUGAAGAUGAAGUCGAAGAAGUAGUAUACAAACCUGUAUCUAAAACCUUCAAUUCACUGAAAGAAAAAUCUAAAGCUUCUACUGAAUGGGGGUCCUCCGUUUCGCACAAAGGAGAAUCUUCUGCUCCAGUUGAGGGGGAGUCCUCUGCUUCAUCUGAGGGGGAGCCGUCUGCUGAAAUUGAAAGGGAAUCUUCUGCAACAUCCUUCAAUCCUCAAUCAGACCAGAUUGAUUCUUCGAAUGUUGAAUCAAGACCUUCCACAUUAUUAGAGAAAGAGUUCAUUCCAACUGAUGCUUCCGCUGUCUCUUCAACCCUGAUGGAAUUACUCUUUCCUGACCUUAUUGCAGAUGAGUAUGUUGCAGAACCAUCUAGUUCUACUCAACAAGCAAAUGAAGGAGGACUUAACAUUCACACUCUACCUGUCUCUAUCAAUGACAUCAGCCAAGAAAUUCCCUCUAGGAUUCAACGAGAUCAUCCGCUCAAGAACGUUAUAGGCCAGCUAGACAGUGGUGUUAAAACCAGAAGUCAAAGUGGAGACGUGAAUACAUGUCUGUAUUCUUGUUUCAUUUCUCAAAUUGAGCCCAAGAAUGUAGAAAUGGCUCUAAAUGAACCUAGCUGGGUGGAUGCGAUGCAUGAAGAAUUGCAUCAAUUUGAAAAACUAGGUGUUUGGAAGUUAGUUGAGUUACCAAAGGGCAAAAAGUCUCUUGACACACGAUGGGUUUAUCGUAACAAGCAGGACGAUUCAGGGGUCAUUGUGCGAAACAAGGCCAGAUUGGUAGUUCGCGGAUUUCGACAAGUCGAGGGUCUUGACUACACUGAGGUUUAUGCUCCCGUAGCUCGCUUAGAGGCCAUUCGUAUCUUCUUGGCGUACGCUUCGUAUAUGAACUUCACUGUUUUUCAGAUGGAUGUCAAGACUGCCUUCUUGUAUGGCAAGGUGAAGGAAGAAAUCUACGUUGAUCAACCUCCAGGGUUUGUCGACCCAAAGUUUCCUAAUCAUGUCUACAAGUUGGAUAAAGCGUUGUAUGGACUGCAUCAGGCUCCUAGAGCAUGGUAUGCAACUCUAACAAAGCACUUGCUCGAACAUGGCUAUACACGUGGUACUAUCGAUCAAACAUUGUUUAUAAAGCAUGUCGACAAGGACCAGAUACUUGUUCAAAUAUACGUCGACGACAUAAUCUUUGGAUCAACAAGCCAACAACUUUGCAAGGAGUUCGAAAGUGUAAUGAAGAAAAGAUUUGAAAUGAGUUCUUUGGGAGAAAUGACCAUGUUUUUGGGGCUUCAGGUUAAACAGAAUUCAACCGGCAUCCUUCUUCAUCAGGCCAAGUACGUGGAUGAUAUUCUUGAGAAGUUCGCACUUCAUGAUGCUAAAUCUGCCUCAACACCGAUGGCUGAACGACCCCUCCUGACUCCAGAUCCAGAAGGCGAACCCGUAGAUCAAACUCUUUAUCGAUCGAUGAUCGGAUCCCUAAUGUAUCUUACUGCAAGUCGACCAGACAUUAUGUUCGCAGUUUGUCAAUGCGCACGCUAUCAGGCUAAUCCUAAACUCUCUCAUCUUAUUGCUGUUAAAAGAAUUUUUCGGUAUAUCAAAGGAAGCCCUAAAUUGGGUCUUUGGUAUCCGAAGAAUUCUGAAUUUAAUCUUUAUGCUUUUACUGACAGUAAUUAUGGAGGUUGUGAGCUUGACAGGAAAUCAACUUCAGGAGGAUGUCAAUACCUAGGUGACAGACUAGUUUCAUGGCAAUGCAAGAAGCAGCACACUGUCUCGACUUCGACAGCAGAGGCAGAAUAUGUGGCAGCAUCAGCCUGUUGUUCUCAAGUUAUUUGGAUCCAACAUCAGCUGUUGGACUACGGUUUGAAUUACUCAGAAACCCCUAUCUAUUGUGAUAAUGAGGCUGCCAUACAAAUUGCUAAGAACCCAGUCCAACACUCUAAAACCAAGCACAUCGAUAUUAAAAUUCACUUUAUUAGAGACUGUUAUGAACGAUCUUUAAUUCGAAUCGAACAAGUCCACACUGAUAACAAUGUGGCUGACUUGUUCACAAAACCUUUUAACAAAGCUCAUUUUGAUGUGCUUGUGGGAUUUCUGAAAAUGAUACGUUUUGAGGAUUAAGUUUUUUUUCUUUUUCUUUCUUUAAUUUUCUUUCUCUUUGUUUGUUUUUAGUUUUUUUUUUUUUUUUUUUUUUUUUUUUUUUUUUUUUUUUUUUUUUUUUUUUUUUUUUUUUUUUUUUUUUUUUUCUUUUUUUAUNUUAACAUUUUACCAAGUUUGUCUUCAAUUUUUGUUAGGUAUGUUUAAAUUUGCGCAUUUUUUUCUUUUGUUUAAAACUCUCAACUAUGCACAAAUUUAGGGGGAGAAAGAAAAUACAAAAACAACAAAAAUUACAAAAAUCCAAAAAUAGUGUCAUUUCAGUAAAGAAUCUAAAUUAGGGUUAUUUCAAAGCAGCUUUCGUUGUAAGUACUGUGAUGGGAAAUGAUAUUAAUAAGUGAUAAAGGACGACCUGAAUCAGCGUAACGUACCUACUUUGAAUCGUCUACGCUCUGUUGCCGAUGUGCUGGUAGGCGCGAAAGAUUUUAAAAUGGGACUUGACUAGACAAAUUUUGACCCAGUUAGAUCCGUUUAAUCUGACAUCACGACGCUCGGAUAGGUUGAGCAGGGAGAUAAACAUGAGAAUCUACUCGUCACAUUAAUUGAACCCGUACUUGGAACCGUGGCUUAACUUUUCCUCGAUGUGCGGAUUCUGUCCUUAAUUCCGGUUGGAUGGGGCGACUGGUAAAUUCCGAUAAAUUAGGUCUGUAGAAAAUCGUUUUCUUUCUUUCUUUCUGUUAGUCAUAUGUUGUCUCCUUUGCGCGACUUCUAAUCCGACCUGGUACACAACAUAUGCAACUCCAUGUCUCUGUAGGAAAUAUAUAUGCGCUUGAAAUAUAUGUGUGAAAUGUAUAUGUGAAAAACUUCUCAUCUGUUAGCCACAUGCUGUCUCCUUUGCGCGACUUCUAAUCCGACCUGGUACACAGCAUAUGCAACCUUCUUAUUCUCAACCCCUCUGAAGUAGGUAGAAGUAGAAUUCUGUAUCCCUUCUCUCUCUGAAUGGUUGUCUGUUCACCCGGUGUAAGGAGUACUCUGGAAGUUCUUGAUGGCUGGGGCAUAUCAGAAAGCGGGAAACACGUUCCAGUACACCUAAAAAUUCAACUCAUACAGAUUGUCUGUAGAUCUCGCUGCUCAAUUUAGGUGGACAACAAUAUCCCUGGUUGUAGUCAAUUAAAUGGUCAUAAGGUAAUUUCACGUAAGAUUUAGGAGUUAUAAUAAUUACCAGAAAUUUACAAUUAGGUAUAUGCCCGAAUCAUGUCAUUGGUAAAAGGUCCAAAAUGUCACAAAUUCUUCACGUUUAAGUGGACCACAAUACUGGCAAUCGGUCAGACGAAGAUAUGAAAAUAAGGGUACCGACAAGUAGAAUAAGGCCGUCCAAUAACUUUGAUCCAAGCAUCACAAAAGAAGUGAUAGUUAAAGUGUUUCUUAAUUUAUUUGACGUUGAUUUUUUUAUUUUUUUAUUUUAUUUUUAUUUUUCUAGCAUUUAAAAUUUUAUGGUGUGUUAGUUUUUUAUUUUUGUUUUUGUUUUUAAAACUUAAAUUAAUCCUCAAAAGGUUUUAUUUUUAUUAAUUGGCGAAAAAUUAAAAAGACUGGGUAGCUAACAGGCAGGAGGGUAAGAAAGGUGGAAAGGUAAAAGGAUAAAAAAGGAAAAGGGGAGUUCACGGCCGGAAUCUCCCCACUCAACAGUUUCCGGCCGCAAACCUCUCCCAAAAGGCUCUCAAGGUGUCGAAAUUUUUUUCUUCGAUUUUCAGAAAAACAAGUAUAUCAUCGUGAAGGUAGCAUCGUGUAGAUCUCGAAUAUGUAUUUUGUUUCACGGAAUCUCAUCACAUUGUACUUAAAAAUUAAAUAAACUCAAGCCGAGGAGUUUAUGGCCGUAAGCUUAGGCCGUAAACUCUGAAACUUGAUGUUUUGGAUUUGAAACUAAUUUAUUAUGGUGCGACUUCUCAUUGUGUUCGCGACUAUAUGCUUUUCGUUCGUCAUCUCAAAGUGAAAGACCAAUUUUUAGCCCUUUUUCGGUGUAGACAUUCAUAGGCCGUAAACUCUCAGUUUACGGUCCGUGAAUUCAAGUGUAACUUUUCUGGACUGCUUGAAAUAUUUCAAUGAUAAUUAUGCAUCUCGUUUUCGAAGUAAUUUCUAGGCCGUAAACUGGAGUUUACGGCCCAAGAACAUUUGUCGAUUCAAGCUUUUAGUUUGACUGGGUAACGAUUGCUGGUUUUUCCUCACUUAAACCAUGAACCUAAAUUUUUCUAAGAGAGUUCUUUAGGCCGUAAACUAGAGUUUACGGCCCAAGAACAUUUGUCGAUUCAAGCUUUUAGUUUGACUGGGUAACGAUUGCUGGUUUUUCCUCACUUAAACCAUGAACCUAAAUUUUUCUAAGAGAGUUCUUUAGGCCGUAAACUAGAGUUUACGGCCCAAGAACCAAAACUGUCAAAAGGUUUAAUUUUUUUAAAAAAAUCCCAUACAUCACUAAUAAAUAAUUUUUAUUUUGAUCAAAUUUAUUGUCAUAUUUAUGUCAAAAUGAGUUUUAUUAUUGGUGUAGGUUUCUUAUAACUGUGUUUGAGUGCAGGAAAAUGGCAAAUCUCAAGUUUGCAGACAUGCACAAUCUGGCGAUAGUUCUUGCUGAUCCACCUGUCGUUCAUUCCGACAUGCUUUCAAUGAUUCACAGGUUGCGUGAAUGUUGUAUUGCAUCAGCAUUGACAGUCAAUCUGGUGAUCUAUCAGAACAUCAUUCGUGAGUUUUGGGCGACGACAAGGACGCAGAUGGAUGAUGAUGGAAAUUUCACAGUUACAGCGAAGGUGCAAGGACGAGAUAUUGUAAUCGAUGAAAGUUUUAUUCGAAACGCAUUGUUGAUUGAUGAUCAACCGAACUAUCCGACGGAAAUUGGCAUAGAGGACGUUCAGAGAAUACUACGACGUAUGAGUUAUGAAGGAACCUGCCCGCCAACGUUGAAAAAGCUGCUUCAUCCAUAUUGGAGAUUUCUGGCUCAUGUGUUCGUAAGUUGUAUAUCCGGUAGAAGGAGUGGGGCUGAUGAAAUUUCUCAACGCACAACUGGUGCAUUGGUAUCUUUGGCCUCUGGAAUUCAUUUCAAUUUCUCAAAGUUCAUCCUAGAGGAAUUUGUCAUAAACAUUCGGGCUUCUACAAGGGAUACUUUUCUCCAAUAUCCCCGCUUCAUUCAAUUGUUUGUCGAGAUGCAGUUUCCUGAGGUUAGGAAGUCAGGAGAUACCUUGGAUAUGAAAUCUUUGGGUCCACACACAGUGGGACUCAUUAAGCAAAACCGAAGAGGAAAAGUUGUCUUUCGAGGGCGUUAUCGAUUGGAAAAAUUCGGUAAGUUUACAGAAUUGGAUGAGACGCCAGUGUCAUACGAAUCAUCAGAACCGACUUCUUCUGAGAAAACGUCUACUGAGGGUUCGACUCCAGCAAACUUCGUGAUAGACGUGACUGAAGAUGAUGAUGAUUCACCAGCUCAGAGAGAUCAAAGUACCUGUAGUCAUGAACAUGAGUCGAAUGAAAGACAGGAUGAAAGGGAAAUAGGUACCGGUGAUGACGGACGUGACUCAUUUGAAAAUCUUGAUCUUACGGGAUUUGACAAUGAUGACAUUGCGGCUUCUUUAGCCAGUAGUGCUAAUGUUGUGUCCAACGAGAUAUUUGACACUAUUUUUCAAAAUGUCGAUGAUAGUGUUUUGCCAUCAACUGAGAAGAGAAAAACGAGCGAAACUCUCUCUCCAAUUUCCGAGCAGAUGGUUUCAACUUCAAUCCCAAUGGAGGUAGUUGUGGGAUGUUCCCCUCCCGUGUCUAUUUCUCCUACAUCUGAACCAUUUGUUAGUGUAAUACCUCCACAGGCUGACCAACCUCAAUCUAAGAGGAGAAGACUUGAUGAAAGACAAUCCGAGCUAAUUACUAGUUUGGUCAGUGGUCUUCCUACACCACCAAUCACUACUGCUACUACACGACUUUCUGUAACAAAGAUGUUUGCAACUGGACCUAGUUCAGUUUUUGAUGUUGGUGGCCCUUCAGCUCCGCCUGGUUUUCCUGUUCCAAGAUUUAGUAGGGAUGCUGCUUCUGAGAGACUAGCUUUGCAUAUGGCAGAGGAACAGCUUCGUUCGUCUAGCCCUCAAGGAAAGAACAUUUCUAUGAGUGAAGGGGGUGCUCCUGAUGAUGAUUCAUCUGAUGAUAGUUUACGAAAGGAGAUCUCGGUAUUAAGUCAGAAGAACAUAGAGCUUGACAUUCAAGUAGCUGAACUUCGUGCUCAGAACAUUGAGCUUCGUACUCAAGUGUCUAAACUUCAGUCAGAUAGAACUUAUCUUGGCGGACAACUCGCAGAAGUUAAGAGGGAUAGAAAAGUAAAAGAUAAGCAGAUUUCUGACCUUCAAGAACAUUUCAAUCUGCUGACUUCAAGCUACUUCGAAUUGAAAAAGAAACUGGAGGAUGAUUUUGGUGAGAAGUAUAAAACAAGCGUAGAAGAACAAAGAAUAAAUUUACAUGUGCAAGCGUAUCCAGUAGAUGUGCCAGCUGGUCAAUCUUCUGGUUCUGCUGAGCGUAUUGGAGUUGUUCCUCCUAUGGCUUCUCAUAUUCAAGAGAUCAUUCGGAAAAAUCAAGAAGAUGAUACUGAAAGGGGGCAGUUAUUAUUCAAGCGAAAUGUUACUCAGAGCAAUUCUAAAGGGGAAUCUUUGAUCACUGUCACUGAUCUUGAAAUUGUUCGGUUCAGAGAUACUUUUGGAGAUCGGUCGGGUGUAGCUGCUUGGGGAUUUCACGAUCCUCUUCGACUUUGGAUUAUUAUUCGCAAGAGCGGUAAUUCAGAGUUGUAUAAGGAUAUUCGUGCUUUUAGUUCAUUGACAAGGGUUGAUCUUGCGGAGUUAUCACAAGCUCCUUUUAUCAAUCUAUUAAACAAUUCUCAGGUUUCGCAGUUCAAAUUCUUUCUAGAUGAGCAAGUAAAGAAGGGAUUUCCUACAAUGCCAACUGCUGAGUCAAUCAUUCUGGAACAUCCAGAUGUGUUUGAAGCUUCUUCUGAUAAACCUCUACAGUUGGUUAUGUGGCCACCCACGACUCAAGUUAAACAAUUUCCCAUUGUUCAAGGUUAUAAAGAUGGAUCUCUCGGUUCUAUGGAGUGCUGGGUUUAUGAUGAAAAUACUUGUGGUGCGGUCAUUAAGCUCAAGAAUGGGUGCAUACGGUUGUAUAAUCGAAGAGACCUUCUGCAGUUCAGGAAGUGGGAUAUUCAUUAUCUGAGCAAUUUUCAAAUCAAAGUGGUUGAAGAUAUCUAUGAGCAAGGAGCCAAGGCGUAUACCAGGAUGGUUGCUGAGAUUUUGAGCAAAAAGAUGUGGAAUGGUGCUAUGGGCCAAAUGGAUGUCAUGCUGGUGAAGAAAGGAAUGGGGCCGAGCUAGUCCAAACCAAGGGGGAGAUUGAAAGACUCUGUAAAAUGGUUUGGUCUAGGCAUAGUCGUAGAUUGCAGUAGAAAUGUAGUUGUUCGUAUUUUGUUUUGAGUUUACGGUGUUUAUGGUCAAAGUGGGUUUACGGCCGUAAACUCUUUACGGCCGUAAACACCUUACGGUUCCUAGUCAGGUCUUUAAAUAGCGAGUUGUGUCAGUCUUUAUUCGUUGUUGAUACUCUCGUAUACUUCCAAGUUGU